GGUGAAGUGGCUGAGUUAGGCAAUAAAUUGUAAAUUUAUGAACGAAAUUUUAUUUCCUUCACCA
rnacentral:tRNA from 1 species